AGGAAUGUCUAACGAUGGAGGAGACGUAAUAAUUGAGUCGCCCCUCAACCCCAAUGUACCCCCGUUUUUCCCCGGCAACACCCACCAAAAAGAGCCAGACACCACUGAAAGUACAAGAGAAGAAAAAUCUCUGGACGAACAAGAUGAAGACCAGGAAGAAUGUCCUGUUCAAUCAGAAAACUCAGAUAGACGUUUGACGUCAGAAAACGGACAAUACGAGUCGGAAACCUUAUCAUCUGUGUUACAUGAUCAAAAAGAUGAAAACGAGGACUGUGAAGAAAACAUAAAUACAGACUUACAUAUCCAAAGUAAACAAGAUGAAAUGAAAGAAUCGGAUGCCCAUUAUAAUGAAGAGUUAGACGCUGUAGGUUCGCAAGAGGCCAGCGCUGUAGUUGCAGACAAUGAUUUCGACGACUUCGCUCCGUUUGACAUUGCGCCAGUGCACUUGGUAAACGAGGGGACAGAAUCCAGCGAAUCCAACAAAGAAUUUAGUAACGACGCUGAAGACGAGUCAGUAAGUAACACUGGCAGUUUAAAAGCUUCUAUACUUAAAUCGGAAAAUGAACAAAUCGACGGCAUCGAAUGCUGGAAGUCAUUCUCCAAUACUGAUUGCAAAGAGAAACAAGAAGACGUUGAACGGGAUGUCGCUAAUUUUGAAUCAUCUUCUCUAGGUCAAGAAGAUAAACCCAUCGGAAGUAGCAAAAAAGAAUCACAAUCUGAUGGCACAGAAGACGGAUUAAACGUAGUCGUCGAAGAACUUCUGACUCAUACAAAAAACAAUCAUUCGAUCCAAAGCGAAUUAGAACCUCUAAAUUUUGAAAGCGGACAAAGUGAAACUACGAGCUCAGCAGAAGAUUUCGAUGAUUUCGCCUCUUUUGAACAAAAUAGCGGAACCUCCAGUAAAGCGACUGAAGAUGCUGAUAGAAAAAAUCCAGAAGAAUAUUCAUAUUUGAAAAAUGAGGGAGUUUCAGACGUCCUAUCUAAAGACAUAAAAGAAAAUCCAUCUUUUGGCGAGGAACCGUCUCGGACACUCGACGAACAGGAAGCCUGUAUAGAUGAAUGGGCCGAUUUUGACUCGGGAAUUCAGAAUCAUUGUGAAAAAAUUGACGAAAAUGAACUGUUUAAAGAGAAGCCAACUAGCAUAGAACCAGAAACAGAAGAUCGCAGUACAAUCUCAGAUACCAAAAACCAAAGCGCAAUCGAAGAAUCUUCGCCCACUUUAUUUGUUGAAGGUGACCUGAAUAAUGAAACAUUAGAGGAAACUGUAGACAAAAUCACGACGGAGAGUGAUAAAACUACAUCAUUGGCUGAUGCUAAUGAACCGGAAAGUAAUGAGAACCCAGAAUUCUCUAAAUGUAAAGAGAAUUUAUCUACCUCUAAUGUAAAUAACGUGCUAACUAAACAAAAAGAUUUUGCAGCCUUUUCGGAAACUGACAAAGGUUUAGAAGAAAACAAUGAAGCUCUAAACGUCGAAAAUCAAGGUCAAACUGAUAACUGGGCUUUCUUCGCUUCUGGCAGUACAGCUUCAGCAAACAACGAAGAGGAUGGAUUUGCAGACUUUACUAAUUUUGAAGCAUUUUCGCAACCAUUUUCCGAGUUGAAACAUACUUGGGAAACUAAUCAACAAAACACGGACCUCAAUAUAAAAGCUGUUAAUGAAACCAAAUCUGGCCUGGAGGAGGGGGACGAGGAUGCUGCUGCCAGUAAUGGCAUUGAGGAAGAAGAUGAUUUUGACGACUUCGCUGAUUUUUCGACCCCAGCUUCUAUGAGCUCAAACACAACAAUGGCUGCGACUGAACCCAAUAAUAGUGGGACUUUUCAGCAGUACAAUGGGAUUUCCGAUAUUGAUGAAAAGCAAUCGAUAUCACCUAGUUUCAAUUUGUCUGAAGAAACUGGACUGCAGAGUAUAGAAGAUAUGCUGAAUGAAGUUGACACGAAGUGCGAGGAUUUGGCCGAACAUGACCCCGUUGUGACUGAAGAUCCCCUCCUUCUACAAGACCUGAUCGUUUCUAUGCCAAUUGCCUCAGAUGUCUCCAAAGAACUCAAUGAUGUGAUAGAGGGCAUAUGGAGCAUAGUGUGCGACCUCUGCAAUAGUCCUUCCCUCCUUCUCCUAGACCCCUCAUCCCCCUCCCACUCUCAGUGCAGUCUCAAUGAACAACUGCUGUAUAGCCUCGGAGUUGACCUCAACAACACUUUGUCUUCUGUGAAACAGAACCUGCCAAAGUACGCAGCACAGUUGGGGCUUCUGCAGCCUAUGAAGAGUGGGGACUCAAAAGGAGAUGAAAGUGGUGGUGUUAGUGCAUACCAGCUGCGUGGCAACAACAACAACGCCAACUCUGCUCACAGAAACCAACAGGCCAUGUCAUGCACAUCGCCCACGCCGGAUGCGGUGCCAGAUGUUGAGUUUGACUGGGGGACAAGUGGACUAAAGAACCCACUUGAAAUGCAAUCUCUCAGCCUGGACUUUUUCGACUCCCAAUUCAACUCGUGUUCAGCCGCUUCUGCUUCUGCCACUUCACAGCUAGAGCAGGAACUGUUGAAUGAGUUGGGUGACGAAGUGGGUGGAAGAGGAACUGGCAUAAGUCGCGGAGGAGAGGACUCUCAGUCUCUGGGAGGCACCAGUGUGAGUGCCAGUGCAGUCAGCAGAGACCGAGACAGCAAAUUGGCCAGCAUACUGGCAGUGGCACAGAGCUCUUCACACGAAAAUGUGAGUGUGGCGGUCGGAGGAUCUAACGCUCACUCUACCAAAGCUUCCUUCUCAAAUUACGCCCUCGAGGAUUCAUUUGGACCGUCACGCAGUAGCUGUAAUUCAUGGGGAGAUCCCAAAAUGCGAAUCAACAACAACAGUGCUUUCUUUGAUGCAACAAGAGACGAAAACUCAAACCAACUUUUCUCUCGAAAUUCGCUCAUGUCUAAUCAAAGUCGCCCAAAGAGUUAUGUGGGCUCUAAGUCAACAAACUCUAAUGGGAUGCCAAACAAACACGGUGCUAAUAGUCAAACGAACAGUGUCAGUUGGAGUGCUUGGAUAUUCCGCAGGAAGUAGAAGAGAAUAGAAGACGAAGUUACGUCUCCAUCAUUCACACUAGUCUUGGGAAGACUGAUUUUUCUUAUUUCCUUAUCAGAAAGGGUAGUUUCUUCAGUUCUACUUAAAAGUUUACCUACGAUUUGACUCGAUGUUAUCAAUGUCAUUGUAACUUAUGGGUCUUCUUUGGGUCCCUGAACAUUAUUUAUUGCUUGAUUUAUUAAUUUAUUAUUUCAGCAAAUUGCACUGAAAAAUAGCUUCCAGUAUAAAUCAUUCUGUCUGUCCUGUAUAUAAAUCCUACUUGCGAUUCGCCAAAUGUAGAGCUUUAAUUUAUUGAAUUAUUUUUUAAUUUCGAAAUUAUUAACUUCUUAUUCUCUAUAAUCAGUCUUCAAAAUCUUGCCAAUCAAGACUUGAGUCCGGCUGCUCACCAGGUGAUGCGGAAGCUUCCUAAAUUACAGUUUAUGCUCUCACGAGUCCUAAUGUUUCCCUUCUUGAGUGACAAAAGUGAGUCA